GGAGAGAUAGCAUGGAAGGUAAGGCGUUUGCCUUUCAUGCAGAAGGUCAUUGGUUCAAAUCCCGCAUCCCAUGUGGUGCCCCGAGCCUGCCAGGAGAGAUUUCUGAGCGGAGAGCCAGGAGUAACUCCUGAGCAUCGCCAGGUGU